UUUAAUUGAUUCAGUAUUUUAUCUUCUAGGAGGGUACUUGGCUGUGGAGCGAUGGCUCGCUUUUCAACUACAAGUACUAUGGAACAAUGGAUAACGCUGGAAGCAAGCAGCACUGCUUGCAGAUGAAUUAUGGAGAAAACAAGUACUGGGAUGACAUCGAGUGUUCCACUAGUCUUCCAAGUAUCUGCAGCAAAAAGCCUGUAAAGUCCGCCUGAAGUCCCCGAGGAAAACAGCGACACACCUGUCUCAUGAAUCUUUCUCUAUAUCUACAUCUUCUCUCUCUUUUCUAUCGCUGUAACGCAUCUUAAGGAAUGAAGCGACAAGUGACACAAACAGGAGCUGGAGUGUCUGUGAGGUGAAGUGUUCAGGAAAGAUUGCUUUUAGCUCAACCUUAUUCUGUAAGGUCAACUCUUUCUUCUCUUCUUCUUCUUCAACAAUAAAAACUGCAAGCAUCAAAA